GACGAACGCUGGCGGCGUGCUUAAUACAUGCAAGUUGAGCGAUGAAGAUUGGUGCUUGCACCAAUUUGAAGAGCAGCGAACGGGUGAGUAACGCGUGGGGAAUCUGCCUUUGAGCGGGGGACAACAUUUGGAAACGAAUGCUAAUACCGCAUAACAACUUUAAACAUAAGUUUUAAGUUUGAAAGAUGCAAUUGCAUCACUCAAAGAUGAUCCCGCGUUGUAUUAGCUAGUUGGUGAGGUAAAGGCUCACCAAGGCGAUGAUACAUAGCCGACCUGAGAGGGUGAUAGGCGACAUUGGGACGGGAACCGGCCCCAAAGUCCUGCGGGAGGGAGCAGAAGGGAAUGUGCGGCAAUGGAGGAAAGUCUGACCGAGCAAGGCCGCGUGAGUUAAAAAGGUUUUCGGAGCGUAAAACCCUGUUGGUGGAGAAAAACGUUGGUGAGAGUGGAAAGCGCGUCAAGGAAGGUAAACUACCAAGAAGGGAACGGCAACUUAGUG
rnacentral:rRNA from 1 species